rnacentral:other from 1 species
AAUCAGUUGUAUGUAUGUACUCUUUUGCAUGCAUGCACACGCGUGCGCGCGCGCGCGCGCGCGCGCGCGCGCGCGCGCGCGCGCGCGCGCGCGCGCGCGCGCGCGCGCGCGCGCGCGCGCGCGCGCGCGCGCGCGCGCGCGCGCCUUUACAAAACUUGGAUUAACAAAAUCUUUUAUGUAUGUUGCUUGUUUGGUUUGGUGUUUGUUGAGACAGGGU